GUUCCUGCCAUUGAGUUGGUGGGGACGUCACAGGGGGCCGCGCGUCGGCGGUCAAAAACCGGCGUGCGGUCCCUGGGGCCCAGAUCGUUUACCGUGAAAAAAUUAGAGUGUUCAAAGCAGGCAGACAUCAACCAUCUGCCACCGAAUACAUUAGCAUGGGAUAAUGGAAUAGGACCCUGUCCUCCUAUUUUCAGUUGGUUUUCGAGGACCAGGGUAAUGAUUAAUAGGGAUAGUUGGGGGCAUUAAUAUUUAAUUGUCAGAGGUGAAAUUCUUGGAUUUAUGAAAGAUUAACUUCUGCGAAAGCAUCUGCCAAGGAUGUUUUCAUUAAUCAAGAACGAAAGUUAGGGGAUCGAAGACGAUCAGAUACCGUCGUAGUCUUAACCAUAAACGAUGCCGACCAGCGAUUAGGAGACGUUGAAUACAAAACACCACCAUCGGGCGGGUCGUCCCUGGCCGGUGUCGUCCGUCGCGGCAACGCGGCGGGCGGCCGGUGGGGGCGGUCCGUUUCCCCGAUGGCCCGGUGAAUGACUCCCCUAGCAGCUUGUGAGAAAUCAUAAGUCUUUGGGUUCCGGGGGGAGUAUGGUCGCAAGGCUGAAACUUAAAGGAAUUGACGGAAGGGCACCACCAGGAGUGGAGCCUGCGGCUUAAUUUGACUCAACACGGGGAAACUUACCAGGUCCGGACAUAGUAAGGAUUGAC
rnacentral:rRNA from 1 species